rnacentral:snRNA from 1 species
UGAGAUAAACGGGAUUUAAACCU